GCGCAACCCUCGACCUUAGUUGCCAGCAUUCAGUUGGGCACUCUAAGGUGACUGCCGGCUAAAAGUCGGAGGAAGGUGGGGAUGACGUCAAAUCAUCAUGCCCCUUAUGACCUGGGCUACACACGUGCUACAAUGGGCGGUACAAAGGGUCGCGAACCCGCGAGGGGGAGCCAAUCCCAAAAAAGCCGCUCUCAGUUCGGAUUGCAGGCUGCAACUCGCCUGCAUGAAGCCGGAAUCGCUAGUAAUCGCGGAUCAGCAUGCCGCGGUGAAUACGUUCCCGGGCCUU
rnacentral:rRNA from 1 species